UAAUACGGAGGUGGCGAGCGUUGUCCGAAGUUACUGGGCGUAAAGCGCGCGUAGGCGGGGAAUUAAGUGAUAGGUGAAAGGCUGGGGCUCAACUCCAGUAGUGCCUCUCAUACUGGUUCUCUUGAGGGCGGCAGGGAGAAGUGGAAUGGCUGGUGUAGCGGUGAAAUGCGUAGAUAUCAGUCGGAACACCGGUGGCGAAGGCGGCUUCUUGGGCCGUUCCUGACGCUGAGGCGCGAAAGCCAGGGGAGCGAACGGGAUUAGAUACCCCGGUAGUCCUGGCCGUAAACGAUGGAUACUAGGUGUCGGGGGUAUCGACCCCUCCGGUGCCGCAGCUAACGCAUUAAGUAUCCCGCCUGGGGAGUACGGCCGCAAGGUUG
rnacentral:rRNA from 1 species